UUGAGCGAUUUACUUCGGUAAAGAGCGGCGGACGGGUGAGUAACGCGUGGGUAACCUACCCUGUACACACGGAUAACAUACCGAAAGGUAUGCUAAUACGGGUUAAUAUAUUUGAGAGGCAUCUCUUGAAUAUCAAAGGUGAGCUAGUACAGGAUGGACCCGCGUCUGAUUAGCUAGUUGGUAAGGUAACGGCUUACCAAGGCGACGAUCAGUAGCCGAUCUGAGCGGGUGAUCGGCCACAUUGGAACUGAGACACGGACCAAACUCCUACGGGAGGCAGCAGUGGGGAAUAUUGCAAAAUGGGCGAAAGCCUGAUGCAGCAACGCCGCGUGAGUGAUGAAGGCCUUCGGGUCGUAAAACUCUGUCCUCAAGGAAGAUAAUGACGGUACUUGAGGAGGAAGCCCCGGCUAACUACGUGCCAGCAGCCGCGGUAAUACGUAGGGGGCUAGCGUUAUCCG
rnacentral:rRNA from 1 species